rnacentral:lncRNA from 1 species
ACAUCAAUUAUUUACUGGAAAGAUCUUAGGUCCUUGUAUAGGAUCAAAAAAUCUAAAUAAUAUUUUUUGAUUAGUUUUUUUGGAUAAGAUCCUAGAUUGUUGCAUGCUCAUUAUGUUACUCAUCAAUAGGUAACAUCAAUUUACUCAUAAAUAAUGAAAGUGGAAGGUUCAUCUAUCAACGAACCAGGUACUGUUAGGCCC